GACGAACGCUGGCGGCGUGCUUAACACAUGCAAGUCGAACGGAAAGGCCCUGCUUUUGUGGGGUGCUCGAGUGGCGAACGGGUGAGUAACACGUGAGUAACCUGCCCUUGACUUUGGGAUAACUUCAGGAAACUGGGGCUAAUACCGGAUAGGAGCUCCUGCUGCAUGGUGGGGGUUGGAAAGUUUCGGCGGUUGGGGAUGGACUCGCGGCUUAUCAGCUUGUUGGUGGGGUAGUGGCUUACCAAGGCUUUGACGGGUAGCCGGCCUGAGAGGGUGACCGGGCAAAAUGGGAAUGAGGUAACGGCCAGACUCCUACGGGAGGCAGCAGUGGGGAAUAUUGCACAAUGGGCGGAAGCCUGAUGCAGCAACGCCGCGUGCGGGAUGACGGCCUUCGGGUUGUAAACCGCUUUCGCCUGUGACGAAGCGUGAGUGACGGUAAUGGGUAAAGAAGCACCGGCUAACUACGUG
rnacentral:rRNA from 1 species